rnacentral:misc_RNA from 1 species
CUUUCCGUAGGGUAACACUGCGAGGAUCAUUACCAAGUGACCCCGGUCUACCCACCGGGAUGUUCAUAACCCUUUGUUGUCCGACUCUGUUGCCUCCGGGGCGACCCUGCCUUCGGGCGGGGGCUUCCGGGUGGACACUUCAAACUCUUGCGUAACUUUGCAGUCUGAGUAAACUUAAUUUAAUAAAUUAAAACUUUUAACAACGGAUCUCUUGGUUCUGGCAUCGAUGAAGAACGCAGCGAAAUGCGAUAAGUAAUGUGAAUUGCAGAAUUCAGUGAAUCAUCGAAUCUUUGAACGCACAUUGCGCCCCCUGGUAUUCCGGGGGGCAUGCCUGUUCGAGCGUCAUUUCACCACUCAAGCCUCGCUUGGUAUUGGGCAACGCGGUCCGCCGCGUGCCUCAAAUCGACCGGCUGGGUCUUCUGUCCCCUAAGCGUUGUGGAAACUAUUCGCUAAAGGGUGUUCGGGAGGCUACGCCGUAAAACAACCCCAUUUCUAAGGUUGACCUCGGAUCAGGUAGGGAUACCCGCUGAACUUAAGCAUAUCAAUAA